AGGGUGUAAACGCUGCAGACUUGGUGUUGGAAGCCCUUUGGGGGCAUUCAGUGCCGGAGAGAAGUUGUUAAGUCUGCUACUUGGGGAGUACGUCCGCAAGGAUGAAACUUAAAGGAAUUGGCGGGGGAGCACCGCAACGGGAGGAGCGUGCGGUUCAAUUGGAUUCAACGCCGGACAACUCACCAGGAGCGACGGUUACAUGAAGGCCAGGCUGAUGACCUUGCCUGAUUUUCCGAGAGGAGGUGCAUGGCGUGUGACUGU
rnacentral:rRNA from 1 species